rnacentral:rRNA from 1 species
GAAUCUGCCCUCAGAACCGGGACAACAGCUGGAAACGGCUGCUAAUACCGGAUGAGCCUACGGGUAAAAGAUUAAUCGUCUGAGGAUGAGCUCGCGUCAGAUUAGCUAGUUGGAGUGGUAACGGCACACCAAGGCAAUGAUCUGUAGCUGGUCUGAGAGGAUGACCAGCCACACUGGGACUGAGACACGGCCCAGACUCCUACGGGAGGCAGCAGUGGGGAAUUUUCCGCAAUGGGCGAAAGCCUGACGGAGCAAGACCGCGUGAGGGAGGAAGGCCCUUGGGUUGUAAACCUCUUUUGUCAGGGAAGAACACAAUGACGGUACCUGACGAAUCAGCCUCGGCUAACUCCGUGCCAGCAGCCGCGGUAAUACGGAGGAGGCAAGCGUUAUCCGGAAUUAUUGGGCGUAAAGCGUCCGCAGGUGGCUUAUCAAGUCUGCCGUCAAAGACCGGGGCUUAACCCUGGAAAGGCGGUGGAAACUGACAAGCUAGAGUGCCGUAGGGGUAGAGGGAAUUCCCGGUGUAGCGGUGAAAUGCGUAGAGCUCGGGAAGAACAUCGGUGGCGAAAGCGCUCUACUGGACGGCAACUGACACUCAGGGACGAAAGCUAGGGGAGCG